rnacentral:pre_miRNA from 1 species
AGACAGACUGUCUGGGGGGCUUGUUAAAAUGCAGAGUCUGAUUCAAUAGGUCUGGGUAGGGCCUGAGACUCUGAAUUUCUAACAAGCUCCCAGGUGAUGCAGCA